GCUUACGGCCAUACCACCUUAGGCACGCCCGAUCUCGUCUGAUCUCGGAAGCUAAGCAGGGUCGGGCCUGGUUAGUACUUGGAUGGGUGACCGCCUGGGGAAUACCAGGUGCUGUAAGCA
rnacentral:rRNA from 10 species